GUCAUCUAGACCCAGCACUCUUUCCUGCCUAUGCAGGGGGUCUGACUCUAUGAUCUAUUGAGGUCCCUUCCGAUCCUAACAUCUAUGAAUCUAUGAAUCUAUGACAGUUCACCAGAGCUUGUACAUGCUGCUCAUUUUCUUAUGAUGAUAGGUAUCUUUUUCUGGGCAAUUAUCUAUCAGGGUGGAAGUUAUUCCUUUGCCCCAUUGUAGGAGAAGAAGUGGCAGGCAUGCUGAAGAGAAGCGGCUCAGCUCAGGCGAUGGCCCCGUAGAUGUUCUUUCUCCCACCUCCUGGAGCAAUACCUGUGGCUUGGAGGUUCAGCUGCUGGCCCAGAGGUAGGGCCUGCAAAUGGCUCUAGAGGGAUGGGGCACAAGACAGAGGUCCCGGUGGCCCUCUCUGGCUCUCUCUACUGGCAAAAUGGUCUUGUGGGAUGCAUCGGUCCACCAGCAUUGUUGCUUCUGGCCCAUUUCUUGAAUGGUGUUAGUCCACAAGGGCUGUUUAGUCUCCUUUCAUGGCCCUUGUAUGCAGCAGGAGACAGCUUUGCAUGGCAGGAGCAGGGCUUUUGAACCUUCUGGUGAAAAGCUGAGGGAUCACCUUCCUCAUCUCACUGUUUUCGAUUAGGGAAGAGUCCCUUUGUGCGAUGGGUGUUUUCCCGCUUGCACGAGUCCCAUCAUCUCACAGACUCUUCCGGGCUCCAUUGUCACGGGGCUGCCAAGAGUGUUGUUUGCAUAGCUAACCAAAGCAGACCAGACUCCCACUUUUGCAGUAACCUGGGUCAUUCUCCUCAGAUAUCUGCCAGCACUCAUGCCGACGUGGAUUCAUCGAGAAGCAAGCUGUCACUCAGGGGAUCUUUCUGAAGUCCUCUGCACCUUUUUUGUAUGGCCUGGAAGCAAAGGAGAUGAUUAAUGUUUCAUAUCUCUACCUGCUUCAUUUGUGGUUCUGCUGGCCAGACACAACGCAAAUCACAUGAGCCCCAACAUCAGGGUUGUCCUGGAGACCAAAACCAGAGCGUCUUAGGCUGGUGCUCUGACCCACUGGUUUUAUCCCUAUCAUGAUGCCUGUGACCCGCAGGGGCUGCAGCCAUAAACCGAGACCUGGUUUUGUCUCUUUGGCAGCCGAGCAGGCCUGCUUUGCUGUCACCGUCAGAAAACAAUUGGAACCGAGGGGAACGAUGAAGCCUCGUGGCCUGACACAAGGUGACUGUGAAAUGUAACAACCCGUCUUUGCUAUGAAUGCCCUUUGCUGCUUGGCUCUACCCCGCCGAUUCAAUUUGUACGCACUGUCCAGCCCCACACUUCCACCCCCUCUUUGUCUUUGGUGCCAGCCUUUAUCACCUGUCCAAUUUCCCCUCCCUUUUGCCCUUGUUUCCCCUUUUCUGAAUGGUAAAAGCUCCUCAGAAGAAACAAAAAUCCUCAAAAGCACUGCGUUGUCUCUUUCCAAUCUCUCCGUAAAGCAUGAGACUUCAGGCGAGUCUGCAUUCUGUAUCUUGGGGUCGCAACACAGGAAAUGUAGCCCACCGGAUUGGCACGGGUGGGGGGGUGAAGCCGGUCAACACAAUUGCACUGUCCUCAUGUCAGGUGUUUCGAGUCAGUCAGAGCUCGGGCAGGCACCUUGUCUAGCUGAAUGACCAAUAAUAAUGAAGCUGUGGCAGCGACUAGCGCCAGUUGCAAAACCUGCGUGAGCAACCGGGCAGAUGCUCAGGUAUUUGAUGCUCAGGUGGGGUUGCCUGUGCUUGGCUCCAGCCUGUCAUGGCCCCGUUGUACUAAAUUGAGAAGUGGAAGGGUUUGUUAUGUACUCACGAGUGGUACUUUGCGGUCGGUUUUGUUUUUAAUUCUCUCUCUGCAAUGAUACCGUGCUUCCCCAGGAUGGGGUUUGAAAGCAAGAAAUGGCCGAGUUAAGGAGCAGCCUGUGCUGUAAGCGUGCUCGGUGGUGACCCUCCAGCGGAACUGAAUCUCCUGCUACGUGAUAUACAAGUGCACGCACAGCUUUGGUGUGUCUUGCUGCGCGCGUGAGGAUGCUGUGCAGAAAAUAACAGCUACCUUUUCUGAAUGCUGGGAUGCUUUUUGAACACCGGAAUGUGCAGUGCGGCUGCCUCCCCACCAGGAGCCAUUGGCAGCCGUAGUCAAUCAGGAGAUUGUUCUCAUUUCUGACAGCAGAGAUGUUUCCUUGUUGUCCAGUAUCAUUCCUAGCAUGAGGGAGAGAGUGGGGCCCCACGGACCGCAGCGAGAGAGAGAGGCAGUGAGAGUGAAUGUGCCAUUGGGACUUGCCUUCAGAGGUUCUGCCCUUCCAGAGAUCAGAAGUGUCGAUCAGGUUAUCAUUGUCCCGGCCGCCGUAACGUGUCAGCAGUCCCAGAGAGCUAGAUUAGAUGAGAAAGCAGAAGCUUCUUGUUCCUCACGUGCGCUCUGAAACAGCUGGCUGUUGCACAGCAGACAACUUGCUCUUGAGCCUGCUGCCCGGUGGAGACGCACAGGUUUGUGCCCAUUGCACACCUGGGAGCCAAAGACCUGGACCCAGACCCCCCAGCAGAGGGCUAGGAGGUAAAAGCUGGGCCGACAGAGCAGGCAGGUGAGUGCAGGGGUGCUUGCAGGGGUUUGAGUGAGUGUGCAUAUGGGGCUGUGCUGGGUGGGAUGCGCUGGUUGAGUGGAGCCCAGGAGGGGAACCCUGCCCCCUCCCCCAGGUCUCUACUUAGCUGAGCCCCGGGACUGGAGCUGCGUGAACACAGCAUGGAAACUGGUGCGGCCUGACAAAGGUGCAGCAGUUUGAAUGGGAGUUUGCAUUGAGGGGUCCACACAAGGCACCUGGAGGGCUGGGCCAAGCAAGCAACCUGAGCCCAGAGGCCUAAACAGAAGCUCCUGAGACCAGGUAAGUAUGAGAAGUAGCUGGCGGCCAUGGCAGCGACCCACCAUGCCUGCCAGCAUCAGCUUCUUGACUCCGAGACCUCCACCCAGACAGGCCCUGGACCACGGGGGCUGCUGAUACCCGAGCAUGGAAGCACCCCGCCUUAUGGGAUGUGCACUUUGGUGGAGUCCCUGGAGGGCCGAGUGCAUUAAACUCGAGGAGGAGGUGUGCCAGGUGUGUGCCAUCAGGGCCCACAAAGAUUACUGCCACAACUACCACCAAGCCCUACUCCAGGGGAAUGGGGGAGGAGCUGGCCACAAAGCCCCUCCCUGAGCUCCCUGGAAAACAGUCAUCUCCAUGUCCAGGUCACGCAGAGCUAGGGUCACUCCUCCCCUGGCACUGCACAACAGGUACACAACCCUGGCGGUGCAAGAGGAGACUCUGACAGAGACACCAGAGGAGGAGGUAAGUAUUCAGGAGGUAAGUAUCCCCACCCCUAGGAGGAGAUGCCAGUUGGUGGCAGCAGGGGACUCUCUCCCGAGAGGUACAGAGGAACCUAUCUGCCCUCUGAACCCCGUAGCCCAAGGGGUCUGCUGGCUCCCUGGGGCCUGCAUCUGAGAGGAUCCUCAGGCUCGUCCAUCCCUCUGACUAUUACUCCAUGUUCCUCGUCCAUGCGGGCAUGGACGAUGCGGCCAGGGGUAACCCUGACUGGGACACAAGUGACUGAAGGGCCCUGGGGGCUGGGCUCGAGGGACUGGGGACUCAAGUCGUUUUAUGUUCUGUGCUUCCUGCUGCAGGCCACGGAGCCAGGAGAGACGGCUGCAUGGAAGAGGUCAACAGACGCCUCUGACAGUGGUGUGACUGCAAGGGGUCCGCUUUCUUUGACCCCAGCAUGUACUUCAGAGAGCGAGGACUCCUAGGAGAGGCCCCCGAACCAAGCGGAGGAGCUGGAUGUGGAUUUCUCUCGAGAACCGACAGAGACACCGGGAGUGCCAGGGACUCGGUUGUCACUGGCGACUUCAAGUACCCGGACGCAGCUCGGGAGGAACGCUCAGCUAGGUCGGAUCAGUCACGCAGUUCCCUGACUGCGAUCGAGGAGCUCUUCCUGAAGCGGGAUGUGCAAGGUCCAACCAGAGGCAUGAGACCCCUGAGGAGCAAGAUGAACCAAUUGCCGUGUCGAUACUGAUGUAAUAACGGCGCUCUUGGAGUCGAGUGCCACGCUGGCAAGCGAAGGAGCCAGCCGUCUCAGUCCAGAGGUCACCUCCACCUUUUUUUCUGGGGCAGCGCAAGUAUGUUUUCUGCUCUUCUUCUUCUUCAGGUGCCUCUGUUUACGUUACCUAGACCAAAGUCUACCAAGCUCUCCAGGUUCGAUUUCCAAGACGCGAGUCAUUGUCUGUGUCAAAAAGAUGUGUGCGCCUUAUCCUUCAUCCCAGAAAACGUGAUGGAGACCAAAAUGGGGAGGAUUCCAGGCCUCCCCAAUGACCGCCGAGCCUCUCGGAGAAGGGGGCUAGGCACGGGGGGGUCUGGGAAACUGCAGCCCAAAGUCUCAACACAUCUCACGCAUCUGCGUUAAGCCACAGUGCCCUAGCACAUGUUGAUUGCCACGUCUCCAGCAAAACCACCACAAAGAAGCACCUCAGUGGCUCAGCUCGGCAUUGGUGAGACUGCCGCUGGAGCACUGCAUCUGGUUCCGGGCCCCAAACUUUAAGAGGGAUGUGGUAAAGCUCAAGACAGGCCGGAGAAGAGUCACCUAUAUGCUCAGAGACUCACAUGGCAAGCCGUACGAGGAAAAGCUUGGUUCCUGUCCCAGGCUGAAGAUGAGCCUUGCUGUGGCUCAGGUGCUGGCCUUUCCUUUGCCCCUUUGGUGGUGUGUGAGGGUGUGUGAGAUGGGCUGUAAGUUUGGCAUCCUGCAGGAUGUGUCAGGCUGUGUGCACAGCCACGUGUACUGCCUUGUGAGGUCUGACAUUGAGUGUGUGCCUGGGCCGCUUUGCGCGUGAUGUGUGUUGGGGAGGCGGGGGCUGGAGGCGCAGCAUGUGGGGCUGGGUGACGUUCUGGGUAGAUGGAGUGACCCUAGGGCUAUGCAUGUGGUCUGGCGAGACCCAGGCCAGGGGCCGUGUGAGCAGCAGAGAGUGGCCGGAGCGCAGGGGGCAUCCUGAGCGGGGAGGAAGCUGUCAUGCCUCGUCGGAGAUGGGGCUCUGUUUUUGUGCACCCAUGGCCUUGAGAAUUGUGUAGUAUGCCAUUGGCCUGUGGCAGGGGCCUGCUUGCUGAAGGGGCCCCUGGAGGAGUUGCCGUACAAAGGGACUGAUGGUGGGAUCAAGGUGGCCGGCGAGAGGGAGCAAGGCAACCUUGGGCCUCCGGAGCCCUGCGGUGAGCCUGGUGCUGCAGGUGUCAGGUAAGAGGGCUUGUGGCGGGGUGCAGCCUGGCCUGGAUUCAU